UGUGGCUCAGUGGUAGAGUGCUCUUCUCGCACAUGAGAGGUACUGGGUUUGAUUCUCAGCA
rnacentral:tRNA from 1 species